rnacentral:rRNA from 1 species
AAGUGGCGUACGGGUGAGUAACACGUGGAUCAUCUACCCUUUAGUGGGGAAUAACCCUGGGAAACCGGGGCUAAUACCGCAUAAGCCUGGAAAGGGAAAGCAGCAAUGCGCUGAAGGAGGAGUCCGCGGCCGAUUAGCUUGUUGGUAGGGUAACGGCCUACCAAGGCGAUGAUCGGUAGCCGGCCUGAGAGGGCGAUCGGCCACACUGGAACUGAGACACGGUCCAGACUCCUACGGGAGGCAGCAGUGAGGAAUCUUGCGCAAUGGGCGAAAGCCUGACGCAGCGACGCCGCGUGGAGGAUGAAGGUCUUCGGAUCGUAAACUCCUGUCGAGCGGGACGAAUCCCGGAAGGGUGAAUAAUCCUUUCGGUUGACGGUACCGCUGGAGGAAGCCCCGGCUAACUCCGUGCCAGCAGCCGCGGUAAUACGGAGGGGGCCAGCGUUGUUCGGAAUCAUUGGGCGUAAAGGGCGCGUAGGCGGCCGAGCAAGUCGGACGUGAAAUCCCCCGGCUCAACUGGGGAACUGCAUCCGAAACUGCUUGGCUUGAGUCCUGGAGAGGGUAGUGGAAUUCCCAGUGUAGCGGUGAAAUGCGUAGAUACUGGGAGGAACACCGGUGGCGAAGGCGGCUACCUGGACAGGUAC